rnacentral:rRNA from 1 species
GAUGAACGCUGGCGGCGUGCCUAAUACAUGCAAGUCGAGCGAACGGACGAGAAGCUUGCUUCUCUGAUGUUAGCGGCGGACGGGUGAGUAACACGUGGAUAACCUACCUAUAAGACUGGGAUAACUUCGGGAAACCGUAGCUAAUACCGGAUAAUAUUUUGAACCGCAUGGUUCAAAAGUGAAAGACGGUCUUGCUGUCACUUAUAGAUGGAUCCGCGCUGCAUUAGCUAGUUGGUAAGGUAACGGCUUACCAAGGCAACGAUGCAUAGCCGACCUGAGAGGGUGAUCGGCCACACUGGAACUGAGACACGGUCCAGACUCCUACGGGAGGCAGCAGUAGGGAAUCUUCCGCAAUGGGCGAAAGCCUGACGGAGCAACGCCGCGUGAGUGAUGAAGGUCUUCGGAUCGUAAAACUCUGUUAUUAGGGAAGAACAUAUGUGUAAGUAACUGUGCACAUCUUGACGGUACCUAAUCAGAAAGCCACGGCUAACUACGG